GAGCCGCCGUUCGAUGAACCGUCCGUCAACCGUCUUCCCAGUCUACUCUUUCCUUUUCACACGCGAGGGAUGACUUAGGGUGCCAGUUUUGGCGGGAAUUUUUAACCGACCGGUUUCUCUCCUUCGAAAGAUACGAUCCUGUUCUGCCAGCGGGGAUUUAUUAAUGCAUUCGGAAGAGAGUAAAAAAAAAAAAAAAAGAAAAAAUAAAGAAAAGGGAAGAUAUUCCAUACACGUUUGUUUCACUCGCGAAGCACGUUCUACGGAAUAGUAAAAAAGAAAAAAAAAAAAAGUACAAAUGGAAUAUGUAUGGAUGUUCCCCUAAAAAAAAUGAUUGACGAAUCCUCUUAUAAUUUUUGUAAGUUUCUUUAACGAUUGGGAUUCCGACCACGUGAAUCAAUCAAAUUGUUAGGAAAAAAAAAAAGAAUAAUGUUAUUUUUUUUGUUUUGUUUAAAUGAAGUAUCCCUCUAUAAGAGAAAUAUUUAUAAAAACAUUUACAUUUUAUUUUAAAUUUCUUUACCGACAGGGUUCUACUACGUAAAUCAAUCUAAUCGCUAAAAAAAAAAAAAAGAAAAAAAAAAAAAUUAUUACGAUUUAAUUUAUAUGUACAUAUAAAAUGAUAGAUACGUACGUACAAUGAUUCAUUCGAAAUUUUAAUAAAUCUACGUGUUAGAAAAAUAUUCCUUUUUCUUUUCUUUUUUCUUUUUUCUUUUUUCUUUCCCCCAAAGAAAAUCAUCGUCUCAAACUUAUUACGUUUAGAUAUUAAUAAGUAGAACAAAAAAUUGUGUUAUUAAAUUUCCGAUAGAAAGAAAAAUUAUAUGAGAGAAAUAACGCUUCAUAAAGAAGGGAAAAAAAAAUAAAAAAAGACAGAUACACAGAGAGAGAAAGAGAGAGAGAAAGAGAUAAAAAAGAGACUUAUGCGAAAAUACGUAAUCCUCUUCUUGGAACAGCAUAUGCACACAAUUGUAUGAAUAUAUGUGAGUACUGCAUCAUCGGUCUCUAUAUCAGACGUCUUAUAUAUAUACAGGACCUGUACUCACAUAUGCGUACGUACAUACAUAUAUAUAUACAUACAACAGAACAUACAUUUCAAUUUAUAUAUAUAUAUAUAUAUAUAUAAAUAAUCAAAUACAUGUACUGACCAAAUAUGCCUGUGUAUCUCGAGUUAAAAGCGGUCGUCUUACAAGUGUAAAGGCUAUCUACGUGAUCCUUUACAAUGAAAGAAGUUACAUUCCUUGACGCUUCGUGGAAUGUAGCCGAACAUCUAUUUCUCUUAAUCUUAUUCUUACGAGAGAUCAACACACAAUUUCUUUCGUAAUAAUACUAAUAGUUAAUAUCUAACUUGUCUUACAAUGAUUCACGAAAAUAUCCAAAAUUCUUUGUCAUAUGAUUUUUAAUUGUAAUUUAAUCAUUCAACGAUUUCUAUGAUAAUUUUAAUUACUGUAUUUUUCUGUUUUUUUUUUUUCACAAAUCUUUAGUUUUAUAUAUAUAUAUAUAUAUAUGUAUAUAAUGAAUAUAGAAAAGAUUAGAAAAGAUAUAGAAUGUGUGACUAAAGUCAAGUAUGUAGGGUACGUAACAAAUUUUAAAUCAUAAAUCAUAGAAAAAAUUGCAUGACAAAUUAAAAAAUCGACAAAUGGUUAUGAAUACGUUGUCGACGUUUUCGUUUAUUCGCUUUUUUUUUUUUAUUAUUCCUAUUAUUUUAACGAUCUCCUUUACAUAAUAAUUAAGAAAGUUUUUCUUAAUUGGCAAACGAUUAGAAAUAAUUGUAUCGAUUGUGAUAUUAUUAGCAAAAGAAAAAACAAAACAAAACAAAACAAAAAUUAAAUAUAAAUGAAAACUCCGAAGUCGAUUUUAUAGUUAUCAAGAAGUAGCUAAUUAAUUAAAUUCUCUCUUACAUUAUCGUAUCUAAUUAUUAAUUUUCGUUAGAAAAUCCUAUCUCAUUUAAUUAUUCAAUGUUUCUUUGUCGUUUGAUAACUCGUUCCUCUAACAUCACUCCAUAUAUUAUGAAUUCAAAAUAAACAGCAAUGUUGUUGUUCACUUGCGAAAGUAUAACUCUGUAACAACCUUCUUGUUGUGCUAAUAAUAAAUUUUCCUUGGAGGGCCUUACACAAAGUAGGUCGAGCAAUAAGAAGAUUUUAAUCGAGAGUAAGAUUAUUAAUUGCCUCCUGGAUAUAUUUUUUGUAUCACAUCGAGAUACACAUGACGAUAUAUAUAUAUAUACAUACAUAUAUAUAUAUAUAUAUAUAUAUAUAUAUGUAUAUAUAUAUUUAUAUAUAUUAAUGUUGUCGAAAAAAAAUGCAUGUCGGAAAAUUUAUUGCAAUGUUUAUACAGAACAUGCAUUCACAUACAUUUUUUUUUUUUUAAGCAUGAAUUCUUAUUACAUUAGAGCAUGAAAUCACAUACAUUGUAUUUUUUUUAUCUUUUUCCUUUUUUUUUUCUUUUUUUUUCUUUUUUUUUUUUUUUUUUUUUUUUUUUA